UCCUGGCUGGCUCAGUCGGUGGAGCGUGGGACUCUUAGUCUCAGGGUUGUAAGUUUGAGCCCCACGCUGGGUA
rnacentral:tRNA from 1 species